rnacentral:lncRNA from 1 species
GUUCCCUUACUCAGUCUCUGGUGGUUCUGCCGGGCGUCGGGCUGUAUGAAGGCCCAAGGGGUGAACAGAUCAAAGGAAGGCACAGUGUUUGCUCUGAGUCUGCAGCCUGCCUGGGGAGUCAGGAUGCUCACACGGGGCCCAGCUGCCUGGGAUGUCCAUGUUCAGUGCCAAAUUGUGAGGUUGGGAUAUAAACACUGGCCCCAUCCCGGCCUCUGCAAUAGGUGGGGGGCAUAUAUUAUUUAUUUUAUUGAAUUUUCACAACCACCUCGAGGUGCUGUGAAAUUUUUCCCUGACUUUAAAGAUGAAGAAACAGGUCCAGAGAGAGGCACAGUGACUUGCACCUUGACAUGCAGCCAGAAAGCAGUGGAGCCAGGAUUCCAGCCAGGUCUGUCUGACCAGCAGCACCGCUCCGGCUACUGCUGGCUGUGCAGUUAGUCCACGAGGAUCUAGGGCUCCUCGGGAAGCCCAUGGGAAGCCUCGCCUUGGUCUAGGAUGGAUGGCACAGGUGAGCCAGGGAAGAACUCUGAAGACGCCCAGCAAGUGGGUGGUGCGUGGAAUGAAGCGG